GGUUAAGCGACUAAGCGUACACGGUGGAUGCCUAGGCAGUCAGAGGCGAUGAAGGGCGUGCUAAUCUGCGAAAAGCGUCGGUAAGGUGAUAUGAACCGUUACAACCGACGAUACCCGAAUGGGGAAACCCAGUGUGUUUCGACACACUAUCAUCACAUGAAUACAUAGUGUGAUGAGGCGAACCGGGGGAACUGAAACAUCUCAGUACCCCGAGGAAAAGAAAUCAACCGAGAUUCCCCUAGUAGCGGCGAGCGAACGGGGAGGAGCCCAGAGUCUGCAUCAGCUUGUGUGUCAGUGGAAGCGUCUGGAAAGUCGCACAACAAAGGGUGACAGUCCCGUACACGAAGAUGCACAAGUUGUGAGCUCGAUGAGUAGGGCGGGACACGAGAUAUCCUGUCUGAAGAUGGGGGGACCAUCCUCCAAGGCUAAAUACUCCUGACUGACCGAUAGUGAACCAGUACCGUGAGGGAAAGGCGAAAAGAACCCCGGCGAGGGGAGUGAAAUAGAACCUGAAACCGUGUACGUACAAGCAGUGGGAGCCUUGAUUAAUCAGGGUGACUGCGUACCUUUUGUAUAAUGGGUCAGCGACUUAUAUUCUGUAGCAAGGUUAACCGAAUAGGGGAGCCGCAGGGAAACCGAGUCUUAACUGGGCGUUAAGUUGCAGGGUAUAGACCCGAAACCCGGUGAUCUAGCCAUGGGCAGGUUGAAGGUUGGGUAACACUAACUGGAGGACCGAACCGACUAAUGUUGAAAAAUUAGCGGAUGACUUGUGGCUGGGGGUGAAAGGCCAAUCAAACCGGGAGAUAGCUGGUUCUCCCCGAAAGCUAUUUAGGUAGCGCCUCGUGAAUUCAUCUUCGGGGGUAGAGCACUGUUUCGACUAGGGGGUCAUCCCGACUUACCAACUCGAUGCAAACUGCGAAUACCGAAGAAUGUUAUCACGGGAGACACACGGCGGGUGCUAACGUCCGUCGUGAAGAGGGAAACAACCCAGACCGCCAGCUAAGGUCCCAAAGUCAUGGUUAAGUGGGAAACGAUGUGGGAAGGCCCAGACAGCCAGGAUGUUGGCUUAGAAGCAGCCAUCAUUUAAAGAAAGCGUAAUAGCUCACUGGUCGAGUCGGCCUGCGCGGAAGAUGUAACGGGGCUAAACCAUGCACCGAAGCUGCGGCAGCGACACUAUGUGUUGUUGGGUAGGGGAGCGUUCUGUAAGCCGUUGAAGGUGGCCUGUGAGGGUUGCUGGAGGUAUCAGAAGUGCGAAUGCUGACAUAAGUAACGAUAAUGCGGGUGAAAAACCCGCACGCCGGAAGACCAAGGGUUCCUGUCCAACGUUAAUCGGGGCAGGGUGAGUCGACCCCUAAGGCGAGGCCGAAAGGCGUAGUCGAUGGGAAACGGGUUAAUAUUCCUGUACUGGUUGUUACUGCGAAGGGGGGACGGAGAAAGCUAGGUUGGCCGGGCGACGGUUGUCCCGGUUUAAGCGUGCAGGUGGGUGUUUUUGGUAAAUCCGGAACACUGUUAACACUGAGGCGUGAUGACGAGUCACUACGGUGAUGAAGUAACCGAUGCUACGCUUCCAGGAAAAGCCUCUAAGCUCUAGGUAACAAUCAAUCGUACCCCAAACCGACACAGGUGGUCAGGUAGAGAAUACUCAGGCGCUUGAGAGAACUCGGGUGAAGGAACUAGGCAAAAUGGUGCCGUAACUUCGGGAGAAGGCACGCUGGAUUUGGUGAAGUCCCUUGCGGAUGGAGCUGAGACCAGUCGCAGAUACCAGCUGGCUGCAACUGUUUAAUAAAAACACAGCACUGUGCAAACACGAAAGUGGACGUAUACGGUGUGACGCCUGCCCGGUGCCGGAAGGUUAAUUGAUGGGGUAAGCUUUCGGGCGAAGCUCUUGAUCGAAGCCCCGGUAAACGGCGGCCGUAACUAUAACGGUCCUAAGGUAGCGAAAUUCCUUGUCGGGUAAGUUCCGACCUGCACGAAUGGCGUAAUGAUGGCCAGGCUGUCUCCACCCGAGACUCAGUGAAAUUGAACUCGCUGUGAAGAUGCAGUGUACCCGCGGCAAGACGGAAAGACCCCGUGAACCUUUACUAUAGCUUGACACUGAACCUUGAGCCUUGAUGUGUAGGAUAGGUGGGAGGCUUUGAAGCGUGGACGCCAGUCUGCGUGGAGCCAACCUUGAAAUACCACCCUUUAAUGUUUGAUGUUCUAACGUGGGCCCCUGAGCGGGGUUGCGGACAGUGUCUGGUGGGUAGUUUGACUGGGGCGGUCUCCUCCCAAAGAGUAACGGAGGAGCACGAAGGUUAGCUAAUCCUGGUCGGACAUCAGGAGGUUAGUGCAAAGGCAUAAGCUAGCUUGACUGCGAGAGUGACGGCUCGAGCAGGUGCGAAAGCAGGUCUUAGUGAUCCGGUGGUUCUGAAUGGAAGGGCCAUCGCUCAACGGAUAAAAGGUACUCCGGGGAUAACAGGCUGAUACCGCCCAAGAGUUCAUAUCGACGGCGGUGUUUGGCACCUCGAUGUCGGCUCAUCACAUCCUGGGGCUGAAGUAGGUCCCAAGGGUAUGGCUGUUCGCCAUUUAAAGUGGUACGCGAGCUGGGUUUAGAACGUCGUGAGACAGUUCGGUCCCUAUCUGCCGUGGGCGUUGGAAGAUUGAGAGGGGUUGCUCCUAGUACGAGAGGACCGGAGUGAACGCACCACUGGUGUACGGGUUGUGAUGCCAAUUGCAUUGCCCGGUAGCUAAGUGCGGAAGAGAUAACCGCUGAAAGCAUCUAAGCGGGAAACUUGCCUCGAGAUGAGUCUUCCCUGGGACCUUGAGUCCCCAGAAGGGCCGUUGAAGACGACGACGUAGAUAGGCCGGGUGUGUAAGCGCAGCGAUGCGUUGAGCUAACCGGUACUAAUGACCCGAGAGGCUUAACCUUACAACACCGAAGGUGUUUUA
rnacentral:rRNA from 1 species